AAUUGAAUUAUUGUCUGGGGAGCUCUAAAACAAAAUACAUGCAAAACUGUUUUUCAGGUUGCAAGCAGCAGCAAAGCACCACAGGUGUACGACUAAUCGGAACAACCACCAGCAUCUGGCAACUUCACAUGUGAUGCAUACACGAAAGAAAUGGACGGUGAGGCAGCAAAACCACCAAGCUUUGGAGACGAUGAGAACACCCGCAAGCGCAUGUGAGUAAUAUUUUCAAGUCCAACAAUGUCAUUCCCACUUAACUUUUGUACCUUAAAUAACUAUUUUCCAUGUUUUUUAUUCUUCCAUCUUUGGUUAUUUUUUUGAAUUAUCUGCAAACUAUCUUCUGCUUAUCUGUUACUUGGUUUUAAAAUAAAGUUUUUUUAAUAAAGGGAACGUUGACGGGAAUUUGCAUAUUGGGAAAAAGGCUUUGUUUCACUUUGUGCAUGAAUACAUAUUCAGAUAGUAAAACAGCCAUCAACCUCAAUAUGAUAAGAAUCUGAUGUCGUCUUAUUUUUAAAAGGACCACCACAAUUUGACUAACAUAUUCUAGAGGUUUGAUGGCGAGGCAUUCGGAGUACAACAACACACAAGCCCACUUCAUCAAAGAGUUGAAUACUUUCAUGCUAAAAAAUAAAAAUCUUGGUUUCCAUCACUUCUCAAGAAAACAACCCAAAAUAUGUGCUCAUCCUCUUAGUGAAAUCUAUUUCUGAAUCUGAAGUUUGGUAAUGUCUUUAAACUAUCUCCUACUCGGUGAAUAGUUACUUUUAUUUUAAAUAAAGAGGAACGUUGACGUGUCUUUCCGUAUUUAGCAAAACAAACCUCUCCUUUAUUUAUGCAGGAAUACAUAUUCAGAAAGUAAAACAUGUUAACUUCUAGACAGCCUAUCAAACUACAAAAUGGCAAAAAGCUUAGGUGAUGUCUUACAGCAAAACACGACAACUUUUAAAUUAACGUAUCAGUCCAGUGAUUUUCUCAAAUCGAAAAUUUUAAAGCCCAACUAAUGCUCAUAACUAUUUUCACCCUAAGAUUCAUAUAGAUCGCAUAAUUAAACUAUCAUAUAUAAUAGCCGACCUCAUCAAGCUUUAUAAACUUUUUUGUUUUUUUUUCUUUAUAAACUUUCUUUUUUCCUACAAGAAGCCAUAAUCAAAGUUUAAAAACAAACACUUAAAAACUAAGCAUUAUAAUUGAAGAUAUUAAACUAUUUGAUGGAAAAUGAACAUUUCCUUACACACAUGGCAAUGUUAUCAGUUGACUUAGGUCUAUUUCAAAUUAAACCAAAAUCCCCGCGCUUGCGCGGAGGCCAGCCACUAGUGACUAAUAAAAAUUUCACUAAUUAAUCUGCAUAGAAUUGUCAUGAGGCAAAUACUGGUUGCCACUUCCCAUUAUUGUCGGACUAAAUACUUAAAUCACAUUAUAACUAAUACUAUUGACAUUCAUUAAUGGACCAAUCCAAAUAAUAGACAUGCAUUACCAUUAAUGGUAUCUAAUCUAAGUAUCUAUUAUCUUCUUUGUCAACUCUGAUGUGUUGUAUAGUUUGAAAAUCUAAUAAUGUGUAAUCACUAAUUCUUUUUUUUGUUGCCAAUGUAUAACUAACAAACUAUGAAAAAUUCAAAGAAAAACAUUUAAUGGAUGCAAAAAAAAAAUCAAUGUUUAAUAAUUGAUUUUUACUAAAUUAAUAAUUGAUUUUGAAAAGAUAAAUCACCUAAUUGCUAUUCAUUUUAUAAUUUAAUGUUUUAAAUAUGUUAAACUCUCAUAGUUAUUUCAAAUAUUUUUAAUAAUGGAUUUUGAAAAGAUAAAAUCACCUAAUCUAAAAUGUGUAAUCACUAACUCAUUUGUCAUCGUAAUUUAAUGAAAGUUGAGUUGAUUUAAUAAUUUUAGAUCUUUAAAUAAGAUUAAAAAAAAAGGAAAAUAACAAAAGAAUAAGCAAGUGGAUAGAAAUAGAUUAGUGGAAAGACACAAAGAGCCAAACCUUCAAUUCACUUCACAGAUCGCUCGGCGACAAAGACGACGAAUCCGAGGAAUCCAGCAAGUGUCCAGAGACGCAGACUAACUCCUCCUCAGAUUCAGAAAACCACAGGCUUGAGAGAGUGUCGGUGACGGAAGUAAGGAGGAGAUUCCAUUUGUGCGAGAACAGAGAGGCAAUGGAGUCCACCGAGUCAUAUGCCCCUGAAGAGCUCACCAACAGAUCCCCUGAACCUUCCGAAGAUGGUAUUCCCGAUCCGAUCUGCUCUUUUUGAGCAAAGAUAAUGCAUUUCCGUGUGAUAUUGACAUGGUAGAUUUGGUGCUGUUCGUUUGGUUGACGCAGCCGGCGUUAAUUUUUUUAAUAAACUCUUGUUACUAUAAUAAAAGUAAUAAUGAAAAUUAAAUGAGCAUCUAUAAUUAAUUUAA